GACGAACGCUGGCGGCGUGCUUAACAUAUGCAAGUCGAACGGAAAGGCCCUGCUUUUGUUGGGUGCUCGAUUGGCGAACGUGUGAGUAACACGUGAGUAACCUUCCCUUUACUUUGGGAUAACUUCAGGAAACUGGGGCUAAUACCGGAUAGGAUCUCCUGCUGCAUGGUGGUGUUUGGAAAGUUUCGGCUGUUGGGGAUGUACUCGCGGCUUAUCAGCUUGUUUGUGGGGUAGUGGCUUACCAAGGCUUUGACGGGUAGACGGCCUGAGAGGGUGACCGGCCACAUUGGGACUGAGAUACGGACCAGACUCCUACGGGAGGCAGCAGGGGGGAAUAUUGCACAAUGGGCGGAAGCCUGAUGCAGCAACGCCGCGUGCGGGAUGACGGCCUUCGGGUUGUAAACCGAUUUCGCCUGUGACGAAGCGUGAGUGACGGUAAUGGGUAAAGAAGCACCGGCUAACUACGUG
rnacentral:rRNA from 1 species